rnacentral:rRNA from 1 species
UACGUAGGCGGGAGAUUAAGUCAGUGGUGAAAUCCUGCAGCUUAACUGUAGAACUGCCAUUGAUACUGGUUUCCUUGAGUAUAGUUGAAGUGGGCGGAAUGUGUAUUGUAGCGGUGAAAUGCUUAGAUAUUACACAGAACACCUAUUGCGAAGGCAGCUCACUAAACUAAUACUGACGCUGAGGCACGAAAGCGUGGGGAGCAAACAGGAUUAGAUACCCUGGUAGUCC